UGGGGAAUAUUGGACAAUGGGGGCAACCCUGAUCCAGCCAUGCCGCGUGAGUGAUGAAGGCCUUCGGGUUGUAAAGCUCUUUUGGCGGGGACGAUGAUGACGGUACCCGCAGAAUAAGCCCCGGCUAACUUCGUGCCAGCAGCCGCGGUAAGACGAAGGGGGCUAGCGUUGUUCGGAAUUACUGGGCGUAAAGCGAGUGUAGGCGGUUGCCGUAGUCAGGUGUGAAAAGCCUUGAGCUCAACUCAAGAAAUGCACUUGAUACUGGGUGACUAGAGGACCGGAGAGGAUAGUGGAAUUCCCAGUGUAGUGGUGAAAUACGUAGAGAUUGGGAAGAACACCAGUGGCGAAGGCGGCUAUCUGGACGGUUACUGACGCUAAGACUCGAAAGCGUGGGGAGCAAACAGGAUUAGAUACCCUGGUAGUCCACGCCGUAAACGAUGGGUGCUAGACGUUGGCGAGCUUGCUCGUCAGUGUCGCAGCUAAACGCGUUAAGCACCCCGCCUGGGGAGUACGGCCGCAAAGGGUUUGAAAAACUUUAAAUUGAAAUUUGACGGGGGUCAUAGCUGUUUCCCU
rnacentral:rRNA from 1 species